AAGAAGAAGAGGCGGAAUUACUGUGAGCGAUGGUCCAAGAUGAAGACAAUUCUAGCAUUGGAGACUAUGGAUAUUCCUGGCGGUGUUAAGAUUAAGAUGAAAGCCAAGCAGAUCGAGGUGGAGGGACCACGCAGGAAGCUUACUCGCAACUUCAAGCAUCUCAACCUCGACUUCCAACUCAUCACCGAUGAGGUCACCGGAAAGAGGAAGCUCAAGGUCGACACUUGGUUCGGCUCCUGCAAGACCACUGCCGCAAUUCGAACUGCCCUCAGCCACGUCGAGAACCUCAUCACCGACGUUACCAAGGGCUACUGCUACAAGAUGAGAUUCGUCUAUGCACAUUUCCCAAUCAACGCCUCCAUCACCAACUCCAACCGUUCUAUUGAGAUCCGCAACUUCCUUGGUGAGAAGAAGGUGGAUAUGCUUGAAGAAGUCACUGUUAUCCGGUCUGAGAAGGUUAAGGAUGAAUUGGUGUUGGAUAGCAAUGACAUUGAGCUUGUUUCCCGAUCUGCUGCCCUGAUAAACCAAAAAUGCCAUGUGAAGAACAAAGAUAUCCGGAAGUUCCUUGAUGGUAUCUAUGUCAGUGAGAAGGGGCAAAUAGCUGAGGAGGAGUGAGAUCUGUAAUUAAGAAGAAGUAUGGCCAAGAUGCAACAAAUGUUGGUGAUGAGGGUGACAUUGCUCUAAUAUCCAGGAGAACAAGGAAGGUCUUGAAUUGCUUAAAACAGCUAUUGCUAAAGCUGGUUACACUGGUAAAAUGUCAAAGGCGGAUGUUUGUAUGGAAGCAGGCUGCAUCCAAGCUUAGGGGUGUACAAGUUUUUACUUACACAGAGCUUGAGAUUGCAACAAACAAAUUUAGUGCAGCAAAUGUGAUAGGAAAUGGAGGGUAUGGGGUAGUGUAUAGAGGGAUUUUGAGUGAUGGCACUGUGGCUGCAAUUAAGAUGUUGCACAGAGAAGGGAAACAAUGAGGAACGUGCCUUUCGGUUAGAGGUUGUGAUUGGGAUGGAUGUGGCUGCUUCUGAGUUUUAUGGUAAAGACAAGACUUAUGAUCUAAACUUCAAAGAAGAGAAUAAUGAUGGCUCACAAAAGAUAUCAGGUUAUGACUGAAGGCUCUCAUUUCAUUGGAAAGUUUGGAAGCUACUGCAAGUUCUUUCUACUUGCUAGGGAUGAGAAUAUUUUAGUUUGUGCACAAGAGAAUCUUUUAAGUUAGUGCACAUGAGAAU